UACGUAGGCAGCGAGCGUUGUUCGGAGUUACUGGGCGUAAAGCGUGCGUAGGCGGUGUCUUAAGUUUGUUGUGAAAUCUCCCGGCUUAACCGGGAGGGUGCGGCGAAUACUGAGAUGCUGGAGUGCCGGAGAGGCAAGCGGAAUUCCUGGUGUAGCGGUGAAAUGCGUAGAUAUCAGGAGGAACACCUGCGGUGUAGACGGCUUACUGGACGGUAACUGACGCUGAGGCACGAAAGCGUGGGUAGCAAACAGG
rnacentral:rRNA from 1 species